AUUGAACGCUGGCGGCAUGCCUUACACAUGCAAGUCGAACGGCAGCACGGGGGCAACCCUGGUGGCGAGUGGCGAACGGGUGAGUAAUGCAUCGGAACGUGCCCAGUAGUGGGGGACAACCAGUCGAAAGAUUGGCUAAUACCGCAUACGACCUAUGGGUGAAAGCGGGGGACCGUAAGGCCUCGCGCUAUUGGAGCGGCCGAUGUCUGAUUAGCUAGUUGGUGAGGUAAAGGCUCACCAAGGCGACGAUCAGUAGCUGGUCUGAGAGGACGACCAGCCACACUGGGACUGCGACACGGACCAGACUCCUACGGGAGGCAGCAGUGGGGAAUUUUGGACAAUGGGCGCAAGCCUGAUCCAGCCAUGCCGCGUGCGGGAAGAAGGCCUUCGGGUUGUAAACCGCUUUUGGCAGGAACGAAACGGCGACUCUUAAUACGGGUCGUUAAUGACGGUACCUGCAGAAUAAGCACCGGCUAACUACGUGCCAGCCGCCGCUGUAACAC
rnacentral:rRNA from 1 species